AGGGGUAACGGGGUGCUUGCACCGCCGACGACCGGCGCACGGGUGCGUAACGCGUAUGCAAUCUACCUUAUACUGGAGGAUAGCCCAGAGAAAUUUGGAUUAACACUUCAUAGUAUGUUUACCUCGCAUGGGGAAAACAUUAAAGGUUACGGUAUAAGAUGAGCAUGCGUCCUAUUAGCUAGAUGGUGUGGUAACGGCACACCAUGGCAUCGAUAGGUAGGGGCCCUGAGAGGGGGAUCCCCCACACUGGUACUGAGACACGGACCAGACUCCUACGGGAGGCAGCAGUGAGGAAUAUUGGACAAUGGAGGCAACUCUGAUCCAGCCAUGCCGCGUGCAGGAAGACUGCCCUAUGGGUUGUAAACUGCUUUUAUACGGGAAGAAACGGCUCUACGUGUAGAGCUUUGACGGUACCGUAAGAAUAAGGAUCGGCUAACUCCGUGCCAGCAGCCGCGGUAAUACGGAGGAUCCAAGCGUUAUCCGGAAUCAUUGGGUUUAAAGGGUCCGUAGGUGGAUAAUUAAGUCAGAGGUGAAAGUCUGCGGCUCAACCGUAGAAUUGCCUUUGAAACUGGUUAUCUUGAAUUAUUAUGAAGUAGUUAGAAUAUGUAGUGUAGCGGUGAAAUGCAUAGAUAUUACAUAGAAU
rnacentral:rRNA from 1 species